rnacentral:tRNA from 1 species
GCCAGAGUGGCGGAAUUGGCAGACGCGCUGGAUUCAAAAUCCAGUGGCCGCAAGGUCGUGAGGGUUCGAGUCCCUCCUCUGGUA